GUCAUCAAGAGACACAACAAUGAUUCCAUUAAACUGGAAGUUAACAUCAUUUACACCUGGCCACUUUGGACUCAUACCUCUAACUCAACAGGCUAAGAAGGGAGUUACAGCAUUGGCUGAGCUAUUGGACAGCCCUAUCACAAAUAAAUCAGUCUACUACUCCACAAUGGCGGUAAGGAAGAGCAUGUGUGGAAUACAGGAGAUCCCUAAGGGUGUCUCUUAGUAUUACCAUGCUCUGUGAUUAAGGUCAAUGGAAAGCUACAAGAACCCAAUCCAGGCAGGACCACAGAUGGCCCAGACCCUUCAGGGUCACUCUACCAGAUCUGAAGUCUGAAAAGUCCAAGUUCAAGCUGCCAGCAUUUGGUGCCUGAAGAGGGUCUUUUUGCCAUGUCCUCAACAUGGCAGAGAAGGUGAACUUUGUGUCCUCACAUGGCAGAAGGGCAAAAAGGACUCAGGCAUGGUUGGAGAAUACAGAAGGGUUUUGAUUGAUUACAACUCAUUUUAAAGAAACCAUGUGAUUGUUGUAAGAAGAGUCUGUUGAGGCUGGGGAGAAGAAUAUAAACAGUUUAGAAUCAAC